GCCUUUCCGCCCCUGGCACGGAAGCUGGAGUGGUGUAAGAUGAAUCACUUACACUCCUCUCUCUUCUAUGGCUUCAAAAUAGGCCUGCUGCUGAAUAUGAAGACUUGAUGCUACUUCCCGAGGAUUUGAAUAAUGCACUCACAGAAGAAACUUCAUCUGGCACUGGGGAAAAAAACAAGAUGAAUGUGCAAGGUAAAUAUUGCAUUAACUA